UCUUCCAUAGUCUAGUGGUCAUGAUAUCCGCUUGUCACUCCACCGUGCCGACUCGCAUGAGGUCGAUCGGCCAAUGACAGGUCGCGGAUGGCCCGGGUUCGAUUCCCGGUGGGAGAG